UUAAAGUUUUAUUCUUUCUUGAAUUUUUGUUUUUUCUUUAUGUUAUAUGUAAGUUUUGUUUUGCUAAAUGUUCUUUUUGCAGUAAUUUAAUUUAAUUAUCAAUUUAUUUUGGAAUUAGUAAUUGAUUUAAUAUCAGCGAAUUUUGUGCCAGCAGCUGCGGUUAUACAAUAGAUAUAAAUAAAUAAUUUUGGGUUAUUAACAGUUAAUUUUAUUUUUGAGUUAAUUUUGAAGUUUUUAAGGUAAAAUUUAAAUUUUUAAUAUUACUCUUAUUAUGAACCUGUGAGACUUAAAUAAUAAACUAGGAUUAGAUACCCUAUUAUAUUAAGUGUGAAAUAUUAUUACCUGAGUAGUAUAAGUUAAGUUCUUUAAACUCAAAGAAUUUGGCGGUAUCUUAUUCCAUUCAGAGGAACCUGUCCCGUAAUUGAUAAUACACGAUUAACUUUACUUAAUUUAUUUGUUUGUAUAUCUCCGUUAUCAGAAAAUUUUUUUAGAUCUAUAAUUUUCUAUAUUUAUAAUUAUAAAGUAUUUCAGGUCAAGUUGCAGCUUAUAAUUAAGAGGAGGUGGGUUACAAUAGAUUUAUGUUUAAAUGGAUUUAAUAAUGCAAUUUUAUUAAUAAAGGUGGAUUUGAUAGUAAUUUAAUUUAUUUAAUUAAUUUGAUUUUGGCUCUGAGGUGUGUACAUAUCGCCCGUCGCUCUCAUUUUUGAUAAUGUAUGAAUAUUUAUAACAAACUGAGAUAAGUCGUAACAUAGUAGAUGUACUGGAAAGUGUAUCUGGUAAGGA
rnacentral:ncRNA from 1 species